rnacentral:lncRNA from 1 species
GUUUGGAAUCGCACCGGGAAAUUACGCCCUUCCAGGGACGGCAUCAUCGAGAGGACGCUUGACGAGCGCAAUUUUCUUAUGUGCCUGUCAGCAAAUCGCUUAAUCCGUGCUGCGCCCAGUUCCCCAGCCGUUAAAUGGGGAAUGAUUAUCCCCCUAUGAGGGGGUGAGAAUAAUACCCACUAAUGAUGGGGGGGCGGGGGGGGUGCUGGAAGGUGGCCAGGGAGAUGCGCAGUGACACACGGAGGGGCUGCAGGAACACGCCGCAUUUUGAAACCAACCUUUAGAGAUUAAAUCCUCCUCCUCCUGCUCUUUUUUUUUUUUUUUUUUUUNCCCCCCUCUCCGUGCCGGAUUUUAACAGAUUUCUCUGCCGCUCCCCGGGGUGGGGACAUCCCCAGGGCCGGGGGGAAAGAAGAGGAAGAUGCCGACAUGCGCCGGGAAAAGCAUCUGGGGGGAGCCGGGAGAGGUCCCCCCCCGCCCUCUGCCGGACCCCCCCCCGCCUCGGGGACACACGCCGCCUCCUGGGAAUUGUAGUCAUCGCGGGGUGACCUUGGCUCCGCCGGGCGGGGGCGGCCGGUCCUGGGCCGGGGAGCCCGGGGGGGGGGCCCCCGCCGCAUCCCCCGCCCCCGCUCCGCCCCGGGCAAUGGCCGCCCCGGCAGCCGCUGCGGCCCCCCCGGGACCGGACGGGGAGAGGCAGGGAUGCUGCGCGCCAGGCAGAGAAUUUGCCUUUGGCUUUUUUUUUCCUGCGGUGACGGUAACACAGGUAUCUCCUGGAGGGGACAGAAGCUCAGCUCCUCACUCCCUGUCAGAGACAGACCUGGUUUCUCAUCUCCUGUCCUGCCGUAGGUGUGUUACCAGCCUUGACUGCUCUGCUCUAAAGCCACCAAGGAAGUCAGAGGAACAGGAAACAAAGGGCAUUAAAAGUGCUUUGGAGGAAGGCGUUACCAUGGAGAUGGACAGUUGGGUGGCUUUUUUCCCCCCCCUGCUUUUUUUUUCCCCCGUGCUAUUGGGUCCUUCUCAAACAAACCUGUGUGGUCUUGAUAACAGGACUUCUGUCUGUCUUCCCUUGCGACAGCCCAAAGCUGUAGGGCAUCUGCCUGCUGGGUUUCAUGGUUUCCAUUGCUAAACCUCAGCAUCGAAGUUCAGUGAUCCAUCAACCCUGGGCUGCUCGGAGCAGCUCCCUCCCAGUGGCAGGUACCUCACCGUGACAGGUUUCCCCAUCUCCUGGUCUCUGGGAAACGGAUUUACAGGAGGCAGCUUUAUGGUCUUUGCGCUGCAGGAAUUACUUUCGUAUUCUGGAAAAGCAGUAUCUGCCUUUAAAGUAGGAUUUAGCAUUUCUGGUACAGUCCCAUACUUGCCUACCUGGGUUCACUUUCCUGUGGUGGCCAUUCCUCAGCUGGCACAAUUAAAACAUUUUAAAAUGCAUUAUUCCUUCUAUCAAUGCUUUAUGAAAAUGGCCAGAUGGGCAGAUGGUGUGGAGGCUGUGCAGAACCAAAUCCAUGAGUUGGGGGGGGUCGUGGACUCUCCUGCAGGAGACCUCGGACACGUUUCACCUUUGGCUGCAGCGGAGGGAGGUGAAGAAAGGCUCCAUCUCCAGCAAAGGAGCCACAGAUCCCCAGAAGGACGUUACAGAGAGUGGCUGUUACGUCUCACAGAGGGAACCGCUAACGAGAGAGGCUGAAAAGCAAACCCUCAGGGAUGCUGGAGCUCCCGGGAGGUAGUCCUGAUGAAAGAGCCCGUGUCAGAGGGAGGACUGGGAUGUAGGUCUCAUUGAUGGCCUUACUUCACCCAUCACAUCCAGGCUGCUUCCCUGAAUUCCCCUUGAGCACCUCUUCUCACCUGAUGGAUGACCGAAACGAGGUACCUUCAAUGCCAGAAGACACUUUGCUGCACGAACUCCCAUUUUGCAGACUAUUCCUCUUUUGAGGAAGAGCAGCUGUUCUGAUGAAGCAGACGGACCGUGUGUCCUGAGGAGCAGCAACUGAAAUCCUGCAAGAUCUUCUAAAUGGCUGAGGUGUUUGGAGUCAUGGAAGGGCUUGGGUUGGAAGGGACCUUUAAAGAUCAUCUGGUCCGACCCCCAAAUUUGUUCUUUCACGGUACCAGCCACCUUCCCUCUCCAGAUGAGAGAAUUCCCCCCCUGGGCAGAGGGUCAGUGUAGGCAACUUCCUUUCUCUUGAACACACUUAAACGAAAUGCCGUUGUAUGAAAAAUACUUUCUAGAAAUGGCCAGCACAAGCCCUCCUGCUGCUGUGCGUCGCUCUCGGGGGGGAGGCUGUUUCCAGCUGGUGCUUUACUCUCUCUUUUCAAGACCUCCACAGCAGAAGGAGGUACGUCGUGUCCGAGGUGAUGCUGCUGGAGCUGUGUCCUGUCUGCCCUGAGACACCUUCCUCCCGUUGGCAGGGAGCUGUGCCUGAACUGCCCGGGCAUCCCCUGCUCCUCCUCUGCCUUUCCCCCCCCUCCCACCCACCCUUCUCCAGAACAACAUUAGGAACCGUGACCCCGCAAACACCACCUCACUUUUGGGGUUGGUUUUUUUUGCAGUUUCAGGCAACUGGGCUGUGCACAUGGACCGUCCCCACGGUGGGACUGUAGGUUCAGCUGUGACAAGCUGGGUGUUACUACCACGGGGUGACAGGCACCUCUGCAAGAUAACUCCUGGGUUGCCAUGGUUACAGAUGGAAAAUAGGGCUACGGGUUAACUCAGGCCAGUGUCGCAUGAAGCACAACAUCCCACGUCAUUUUGCGCACACCUGGGACAGCGAAGGCUGGAGCAGCGGCCACCACAAACCCCCGAGUCCCCACCCCGCCCCGAGUUUGUCCAGUAAACUCCCCAAAACUUCCCGAAAUUAAAUCCUUGUGCACAACAGGCUCAGGGAUGGAUCUGGGGUCGGAGGGAAUCAGCCUCCGGCAGAGGACCCCGUCUCAGCCCCAUCCCCCAUUAUAUAUUACUUAUUAGUGCACCCCAAAUGGUAAGGCCUUGGGUAAGCAUGGAUUUUUAGGAGUUUUCACGCUCUGAAUAUUGAAGAGGAAUUCUCAGUCAGGCCUGGACCUCGCCUCCAGACUGUGGUUGCAUCUGGGAAGCAAAGCAGAUCCCUUGGGCUGGACCAGAGGUCAGGAGCUGAUGCAGCCUCUGAUGGAGCAGCCAGUGGUGCCCCCGUUCUGGCAGUCCCGAGCGUCCCCAGAACUUCAUCAUCUCCAGGGCUUGGUGAGAACCUCCCUGGAAAAACAAAGGGACAAAUGAAGCCUGGAGUGACCAAAAAAAAAAAAAAAAGAAAAGAAAAAAGUGCAGAGGUAUCAGUGAAGAGGAGGUAACAGGCCUGCUGGAAGCACCACUCAUGGCUUUGGAAAUACUGUGUCCCUCACUUUGAUGGUCCAGCCCGAAGGAAUGAAAAGUGAUGGUGUGGGAACGGCUCGAAAGAGCAGGAGCUCGUGUCCACGCAGCCAAUGGGCAAAUAAAUUGAAUUCACACCAUUAACGUCA